UACAAUAUGCCUGUAAAAAAAAGGAUUAAACACAGAAUAAAAAGGAAAGAUGCAGGACAAUCAAAGGGACUUGACAUGGAUAUUGCCAAAUUGCUAAGGAAAGGUGUGUAUUCUAAAUACAAAAACAAUGAGGUUCUGACCAUAUAGACACCUUAUCGGCAAGGGACGAACAUUUCUCAGUCUUAACCUUGCAGAGAUACCUGAUAAAACUUGGAUUUAAGCUUAAGAUGGUUAACAAAAGAGCUGCUGUAAUGGAAUUGUCAGGUGGUGUAUAGAAUAUUUGAGGAAAAUUUAAAAAAUUUGGGAGGAAGAAAGAUCCAUAUAUUAUUUAGCCGAAACAUGAUAUGAUACAUUUAUGAUUGAUGUAUGAUUUCCAUUCUCUGGGAAAAAAGUCUCUUUUUUGCCAUAGUAAGAAAACCAUAUUUUUAUUAAUAAAACAAGUUUAAAAUUUUGUUUUUUACAGCUUACUGCCCCUGUUGUCCUUCAGUGAUACAAUAAAGACUGCUUCUUCCACCAUUCUCUGGGAAAAACCCUGUUUUGCUAUGCUUACUACCCCUGUUGUCCUUCAGCAACACAAUGAAGACUGCUUCUUCCUCCAUUCUCUGGAAAAAAGUCCCUUUUUUGCCAUACUUACUGCCCCUGUUUGUCCUUAAGCGACACAAUAAAGAAUAUAAUUAUAAUGUAAUGCUUUAGUAUCCAUAUGCUGAUGUGCGAGAUGAAGUUGAAAUCCAUAGCAGCAACAGAGAAACUGUUUCCUUCCUUAAUGGAAGAAACUGCUAAAGAACAAUGGCAAAAAAACAGAAUUUACAAAAUUUGUAUUAACUUUUUGGGCCAGAUUCAAAAGAGUGGAUAAAUUUAUAAAAGUAUUUAGUAUCCUCACUGUAGUUUUAGGAUCCAGUAUACUUAAAAUGUAGUGUUUUGUAUAAGAUUUUUAGUUUUUAGUAUAAGCAUUUAUUUUUGUUAAUUUUUAUCUAAUCUCUCCUAAUAUGCAUAAUAACUAAAUACGAGGCAAACAAAUUAAUAAAUACGUUAGGGAUGUAAGGUGUGUUUUUUUUUAUAAGUAAAACUUGUGUCUUUUAAAGGCAUAA